GUUAAGGCUUUCUCUCGAUUGCCCGUUUGGGAAAGUACGGCAGUCCAAAUUGUGGUAUUUUUUUAAUAAUCAGUGUGUGAGUAGAUGGAAAACACAAUGCCUAAAUUUAAUUAUGAUUUAUUUAAAAGAUUCAUGAUCAAUACCUGACGAAAUAUGGAGUUUUGACACAUUCAACGGGGUGACGUCAUAAUGUUGAUAAAAAAAUCAUAUUCAACGUCAUGGCGUCAUAAUGUUGAUAUCAACGUUAUGACGUCAUGCUGUGGAAAUACAAAUACGAAAUGUGGAAACACGACUAAAACAUUUGUUUCAUAAAAUGAUUUCCCUUAGAGCACUUAAUUAUUUUGACAAUUUUAAAAAAUUCUGUUGGGCCAAAAUAUUUUAAAAUUAAGUAAUUGUGAUUAUUCGUAAAAUAUAUUUUCAGUUGGCUCGACCGAAUUUGUUUUAAAUUGUCAAAUUAAAUUAGUAUACUAAGAGAAGUCAUUUUACGAAAUAACACCUAGUGGUGUCUAGCACCCGCGAGAAAAGUCCAACACCAACCUAAAAAUCUGCUUAACCAUACAUUUUAUGUUAUCCGAAUAGCGAUUAGGGAACUGCUGCUGUUAGCGCGUGUCGAUUUCUUGGAACGAUUUAAUUGAUUUGUGAGCUCACACGAUGCUUUAGUUAAAUAUCACAGUUACAUGUAAACUGUACUUUAAUUAACAAGUAAAUUUACUGUGCUGUGCUGUGCUGUGCUGUGCUG